AGAGUUUGAUCCUGGCUCAGGAUGAACGCUAGCGACAGGCCUAACACAUGCAAGUCGAGGGGCAGCACAGAGGUAGCUUGCUACUUUGGGUGGCGACCGGCGCACGGGUGCGUAACAGGUGUGCAAUCUGUCCAUAAUCGGGGAAUAGCCCAGCGAAAGUUGGAUUAAUGCUCCAUGUGAGCAGAGGAGGCAUCUCCUUUGUUUGAAACGCAAGGAUUAUGGGUGAGCACGCUUCUGAUUAGGUAGUUGGUGAGGUAACGGCUCACCAAGCCGACGAUCAGUAGGGGUUCUGAGAGGAAGGUCCCCCACAUUGGAACUGAGACACGGUCCAAACUCCUACGGGAGGCAGCAGUGAGGAAUAUUGGUCAAUGGACGGAAGUCUGAACCAGCCAAGUCGCGUGAAGGAUGAAGGUUCUAUGGAUUGUAAACUUCUUUUAUACGAGGGUAAAACAGCGGACGUGUCCGCUCUUGCAAGUAUCGUAUGAAUAAGCAUCGGCUAACUCCGUGCCAGCAGCCGCGGUAAUACGGAGGAUGCGAGCGUUAUCCGGAUUUAUUGGGUUUAAAGGGUGCGUAGGCGGAUUAUUAAGUCAGUGGUAAAAGCGUGUGGCUCAACCAUACCAAGCCAUUGAAACUGGUAGUCUUGAGUGCAAACGAGGUAGGCGGAAUGUGACGUGUAGCGGUGAAAUGCUUAGAUAUGUCACAGAACCCCGAUUGCGAAGGCAGCUUACCAGCAUGCAACUGACGCUGAGGCACGAAAGCGUGGGUAUCAAACAGGAUUAGAUACCCUGGUAGUCCACGCAGUAAACGAUGAAU
rnacentral:rRNA from 1 species